UUUAUGGAGAGUUUGAUCCUGGCUCAGGAUGAACGCUGGCGGCGUGCCUAAUACAUGCAAGUCGAGCGAACGGACGAGAAGCUUGCUUCUCUGAUGUUAGCGGCGGACGGGUGAGUAACACGUGGAUAACCUACCUAUAAGACUGGGAUAACUUCGGGAAACCGG
rnacentral:rRNA from 1 species